UACGUAGGGCGCAAGCGUUGUCCGGAAUUAUUGGGCGUAAAGAGCUCGUAGGCGGCUUGUCACGUCGGGUGUGAAAGCCCGGGGCUUAACCCCGGUUCUGCAUUCGAUACGGGCUGGCUAGAGUGUGGUAGGGGAGAUCGGAAUUCCUGGUGUAGCGGUGAAAUGCGCAGAUAUCAGGAGGAACACCGGUGGCGAAGGCGGAUCUCUGGGCCAUUACUGACGCUGAGGAGCGAAAGCGUGGGGAGCAAACAGG
rnacentral:rRNA from 1 species